GAAGAACCUCCUAACUAGCCUUUUAUCCAUCCUUUUCAUCCAAAAACGUUUUACAAUCUGUUUUGUUUCAAAGUUUCUGUUUUGUUUUCAAUUUUCGUCCAAAACAAAUCCCCCUUUAUUUUGAAGUCUUAGAUUAGUUAGAAAGUGUUUUGAUUUGUGUUUCUAAGUGUUUUGAUUCAAGUUUUCAUCCAACUUCGUCCAAGUUCUUGUUACGUUCUCAAAACUGCCCAGAAAGUGGUUUUUAGGCAGUUUUGAGUCAUUAGGUUGCUGUUUUGAGUUUUAUGUUUGUUUAAGUGUUUUAAACUUUAGUUUUGCAUUCCUUGAGUCUAGUUUAGUGUUUAACCUUUGUUUUUAUGUUUUUAAGUCAGUUUUCAAGUGUUUAGCAAUCCCUCCUAAUCCCCGGUCUAGAACGAUCCCUAUUUACAUCUUUACUACAAUUUGACAAAAAGAGGGUUUAAUUUGUGUGCUUAUCUAUUUCGCAUAAAAAACAAUCCAAGAGAUUAGCAAAGUUGCUAAUCCCCAGCAACGGCGCCAAAAUUUGAUGCGAAAUAUAUAAGCACACAAAUUAAACCCUCUUUUUAUCAAUUGUAGUAAAGUAUGUAAGUAGGGAUCGUUCUAGGCCGGGGAUUAGGAGGGAUUGCUAAAUCACUUGGAAACUGACUUAAAAACGUAAAAACAAAGUUUAAAACACUAACUAGACUCAAAGAAUGCAAAACUAUACUUUAAAACACUAAAACAAACCAAAAGACUCAAAACAGCCCCUAAGCACUCAAAACUACCUUAAAAACACAAUCUAGGCAAUUUUGGGACUCUCACACAAACUUGGACAAAUUUUGGUUUUCUAAUGAACUAAAACACUUAAAAAAACAUAGUCUAAGACAAGUUCUAAUUAAUAUGACUCAAAGAAAUAAGAUGGGGUUGAUUUUCGACGAAAAUAAUUAAAUUAAGACAAGAACAAAGUAAACAAAUUCUUAGACAAAUUUGGGUGAAUCAAAACACUCUAACACAUAACCAAAACAGAAAUUAAACACUUUGAAACAAUAAAGUAAAUGGGGGAUUUUGGUUUUAAUGAAUUUGAAAACAAAACAAACUUUGUAAAACAAAACAGAUUGUAAGUGAAUUUGAAUGAAACUUAUGGAUGGAAGAUUAGCUAGGAGGUUCUUCUCCACAUAUGUCACACUUGCAUACAAAACGAUUUCCAGUUGCUUUUCGAUAAGCUAUGAAUACUCAACGCCCCAAAUUAACCGUGAAUUGCACUAAUUAACCCUCAGUUUUUUCCACAAGUUAUUAGGUUGGAUGAUUGCAUACGACAACCCAAAACAUUCCCUACAAGUUCCCUACAUGAAUUGCAUAAUAGAGAUACAAGCAAGAAUCAUUAAGUUCUAUGAAAAACAUAAGCAUUGACGAGGCACUCGUUAUUAUGAUUUGCAUGAAACUUAUGCCAAGAGUUUACUUAACGUGAUUGUGACUAGCAACCUUCACUACUUGUGAAUAUAAGUUUAUAACGAUUAGGUGAAACUCCCUUAUAUUCUAGCGUCAAAUUCAUGCAUGAAAAUUAAGUGUGCACUCUUAACCAACAUACACAAAUUAGUUUUUAUAUGAACGGAUAAGUAAAUUGAAUUCACAACUUAUGAAUCACAACUGGAUGUAAUCAAAUCAUAUUGCAAGUAUGAACAUAGUUUCGAAUCACCCCCUAACUAAGAGGGGUUUAGUUCCUCAUACUCACAAAGAAAAGAUACAUAAAAUUAGACAUUAAAAUCAAAGGAAAGAAAACACCUAAAAUGCUCCAACUUGGUAGCAAGUGCAUCCAAGAUUCCUCCUUUCCCUUGCUUGCGGCAGAUUGGGUUAUGGACAAAUUUUGGGUAGUUUUAUGAUGUAGAAUGGAUGCGGAAUGGUAUGGAAGGGUUUAGGGUGAGUGUGGAGGAGUGUUCGAUGGUUGGAGGGUGGUGGAGAACUAGGCAAAGAGGGUGGAAGAAGGUGGAGUGGCUGUUAUGUUUUCUAGGCACUAGAAUGGUGUUUUUGGGGUGUUUUGCUACCUAGGGUGAGUAUGGACGAAUUUAUGUGAUGAAUGGUGAAUAUGGGGGAUUGUCCUUUUGCCAAGGGGUGUAAACAUGUAUUUAUUGGCCCCAAAAACCUUAGAAAAUCAGGUUAGGUUAAGGAUGAAAUGCAUGGCAAUUUGUGUGUGUGG
rnacentral:lncRNA from 1 species